rnacentral:tRNA from 1 species
GCGUCAGUAGCUCAGCGGCCGCAGCGCCGGCAUGCCAAGCCGGAGGACGCGGGUUCGAAUCCCGCCUGACGCU